UGGUAUUUUGUGGAAGAGCCACACUCAAGGGGCCGCAGUUUGCCGACCACUGCCCUAAACCGACACCCUCUCUGCCAUCAGUAUAAUCCGACUGCAGUACCGAAUCAAGGAUAUUUUAGCAGAGACUAAGUUGACUUCAGAGUGUAAAUUGCCUGCUCUCAUUCACCCCCCACAGGGAUUCGCCUGUUUCCCCUACCUGCACCAGCCCAGGGGAUUACCAGAUAUUUCUUUUUUUUUUUUUUUUUUUUUUUUGAACUCCAAAGGAUGAAAAGAUGCCUGUUUUAAUUAUCUUUCUCCUUCCGGUUGAGGGUUGUUUUUUGUUUUUGCUUUUGUUUUUUUUCCUUUCUGGAAGUAUUUAGAUCAGAUUCACAGUCAAAAAGAGAUUUCCCUCGUGGUUGAGCACUUAGUGGACUUGGGUGGAAAACCAGGCUCCCCACUUAGCAGCCCGUGACCCUGGACCAGGGCUCCCAACUCUCCGGUCCUCGGCUUUUCAGUCCAUAAAACAGAGACAGUCAUCGCCGGCUGCACUGUCGAAGGGCCUUAGCGUAGCACCUGGAGCUUAUUAAGCCCUCGCAACUCCUUCCAACCGUGGAGCCCCUAGGAAAGGAUAAUUUUGAAGAGCAUCAACCAAAAGGAAAGUCUCUUCAACAAAUGAUGCUGGAACAAUUGAAUAUCCGUAUAGAAAACAGAAACUUUGAGCACGAUGCACAAAAAUUAAAUCUGAAAUGGAUCAUGGGGCUGAGCAUCAAAUCUGAAAUUAUGAAACUCCUCAAAGAAAAUAGAGAAAUUUUUUUUGCAACUUUAGGGUAGACAGAGAUUUCUUAGAUGGGACAUAAAAAGCACAAACCAUUAA